GCUGGAGUGGCGGAAUUGGUAUACGCGCAUGGCUUAGGACCAUGUUCCCGCAAGGGAUUGAGAGUUCAAGUCUCUCCUCCAGCA
rnacentral:tRNA from 1 species